UACGUAGGGCGCAAGCGUAUCCGGAAUUAUUGGGCGUAAAGAGCUUGUAGGCGGUUUUGUCGCGUCUGCCGUGAAAAUUCGAGGCUCAACCUCGAACUUGCGGUGGGUACGGGGCAGACUAGAGUGUGGUAGGGGAGACUGGAAUUCCUGGUGUAGCGGUGAAAUGCGCAGAUAUCAGGAGGAACACCGGUGGCGAAGGCGGGGUCUCUGGGCCGUAACUGACGCUGAGGAGCGAAAGCAUGGGGGAGCGAACAGG
rnacentral:rRNA from 1 species